GCGCUGGUGGUGUAGCAUCGCUGCCCGGAAAGCAGAAGGUGCGGGUUCGAGUCCCGCCUGGCACA
rfam:Heligmosomoides polygyrus genome assembly, scaffold: HPBE_scaffold0002236